CCUACGGGAGGCAGCAGUGAGGAAUAUUGGUCAAUGGGAGAGAUCCUGAACCAGCCAAGCCGCGUGAGGGAAGACGGCCCUAUGGGUUGUAAACCUCUUUUGUCGGAGAACAAAACCCGGGACGUGUCCCGGACUGCGUGUAUCCGAAGAAAAAGCAUCGGCUAACGCCGUGCCAGCAGCCGCGGUAAUACGGAGGAUGCGAGCGUUAUCCGGAUUUAUUGGGUUUAAAGGGUGCGUAGGCGGUCCGUUAAGUCAGCGGGAAAAUUGCGGGGCUCAACCCCGUCGAGCCGUUGAAACUGGCAGACUUGAGUUGGCGAGAAGUACGCGGAAUGUGCGGUGUAGCGGUGAAAUGCAUAGAUAUCGCGCAGAACUCCGAUUGCGAAGGCAGCGUACCGGCGCCAGACUGACGCUGAGGCACGAAAGCGUGGGGAUCGAACAGGAUUAGAUACCCGAGUAGUC
rnacentral:rRNA from 1 species